AUCAAGCGUGGUACGCUGCAGAUGUGAUGACUUGGUGAGAUAUCGUUUCGUAAGAGCAUAACAAAAAACAAACAAGGUGGCCCACAAGGCCGCCGGUUGUGCGAGCGAGACGGACGAACAACAAGCGCCAUAAGAACGAGAUCCAAUACCAUCCACAAUCUAGCACUGAAAACUAUGUUACCCCACAUUACAGCAAAUGUUUUAGUUACCAAUUAAAUUCUGCUGCUAACAAAUUAAUUCGUAUAUCUACUUCCAUUUCCAUUUUCCUUAUGCUUAUCCCGAAUUUAGUUUAUUUCAACGUUUGCUCUAACGUACUCAGGCAUUGAAUUGGUAUGUGUAAGUGGUUUCUUUCGGUGCACACUGUCACAUGCUUGGAAAAGGUGGUGGAACCUGGAAACCGGGGACACCGAGGAACUGCGAGACUUUCGGCACGUAGCAACGCGUAGCUGCAAGCCCCCAUCCACAAACACAUCCACAAGCUGACGAAGCGGUGACUCGGGCGUAUGAGCAACAUGCUGAAGCAUAUGGAAAUCGCUGCGUUCCAAAGCCGGCAAACCAGAUGGACAACUAGUCCCUGCCGCUAGCAGAGGAGCAGGUUGGAAUUUUUCAAGGGGGUUUUUCCAUUUAAACAUUUAGUAUCAGUCAAUUGCAUUACGAAAAUGUUUUGAUAGUGUUAUCAACUGGCACUGCUGCUGCAGGUUUUCUAGUUGGAUCUUUGAUCUAUUUAGGACAUUACUCUUCUGGAAACAAGCCAAACCAAAAUGAUCUGGAUGUAUUUCUAGCUAGACUAAAUAUACGGAUUUCAUUACCCACAGACGCCUUUGUGAAACGUGGGUUCCUCUUGGAGCUGAAAACGAUUGCAGCUGCAUGAAAAGCUUUAAAUCCGAGCUUCCAAGCUCGUCCAUUCAUAUUUUUGGUCGGUUUCUGGGGCCGACAUAAAAAAUUCCAAAUAUGCGAUGGCAUUGCAUAAAAAACGCAAUUAUAGCCGCUGACCGCGUCCGCAUUGCAUUUGGGCCUUGUCUUAUCGCCAUUCGUCGUUGUUUAUCGUUAUUGCUUGAGUCAGCUUAUCAAGAAAUUUCGAAACUGAAAUCCACCUUACGGGGGGUUUUACUUGAACUGAAACGGUUUACCUCGGCACGUGAAUACAAUCAAAAAAUUCCGCUGCCCCCAGAAGAUACAGUGUGACCUCUAUAACCCGAAGCACUUAGCAAAACGUAACGUUUAUUUGGUUAUUUGUUUUGAAAUAAUUAGAUCCUAGAUUAGAUGACAGUGUAUAUAUAAUGUACUGGCUAGACUUUUAUGGCUGUAAGACAAAGUUGGCAGCAAGCUAUUAUAACAUGAACUUUUCCUAACCGAAAAUAUACAUUUCUCUUAGAACACAGGUUUUUCGAGGCCAGACUGUAAA